rnacentral:rRNA from 1 species
GAUGAACGCUAGCAGGAGGCCUAACACAUGCAAGCCGAGCGGUAUUGUUUCUUCGGAAAUGAGAGAGCGGCGUACGGGUGCGUAACACGUGUGCAACCUGCCUUUAUCUGGGGGAUAGCCUUUCGAAAGGAAGAUUAAUACUCCAUAAUAUAUUGAACGGCAUCGUUUAAUAUUGAAAGCUCCGGCGGAUAGAGAUGGGCACGCGCAAGAUUAGCUAGUUGGUGAGGUAACGGCUCACCAAGGCGAUGAUCUUUAGGGGGCCUGAGAGGGUGAUCCCCCACACUGGUACUGAGACACGGACCAGACUCCUACGGGAGGCAGCAGUGAGGAAUAUUGGUCAAUGGGUGCAAGCCUGAACCAGCCAUCCCGCGUGAAGGGCGACUGCCCUAUGGGUUGUAAACUUCUUUUGUAUAGGGAUAAACCUACCCUCGAGAGGGUAGCUGAAGGUACUAUACGAAUAAGCACCGGCUAACUCCGUG